rnacentral:rRNA from 1 species
GACGAACGCUGGCGGCGUGCCUAACACAUGCAAGUCGAGCGAUGAAGCCCUUCGGGGUGGAUUAGCGGCGGACGGGUGAGUAACACGUGGGUAACCUACCUCAAAGGGGGGGAUAGCCUCCCGAAAGGGAGAUUAAUACCGCAUAACAUUAGUUUUUCGCAUGAAGAACUAAUUAAAGGAGUAAUCCGCUUUGAGAUGGACCCGCGGCGCAUUAGCUAGUUGGUGAGGUAAAGGCUCACCAAGGCGACGAUGCGUAGCCGACCUGAGAGGGUGAUCGGCCACAUUGGAACUGAGAUACGGUCCAGACUCCUACGGGAGGCAGCAGUGGGGAAUAUUGCACAAUGGGCGAAAGCCUGAUGCAGCAACGCCGCGUGAGUGAUGAAGGCCUUCGGGUUGUAAAGCUCUGUCUUUGGGGACGAUAAUGACGGUACCCAAGGAGGAAGCCACGGCUAACUACGUGCCAGCCGCCGCAGUAACAC